rnacentral:rRNA from 1 species
GAUGAACGCUGGCGGCGUGCCUAAUACAUGCAAGUCGAGCGAACAGACGAGGAGCUUGCUCCUCUGACGUUAGCGGCGGACGGGUGAGUAACACGUGGAUAACCUACCUAUAAGACUGGGAUAACUUCGGGAAACCGGAGCUAAUACCGGAUAAUAUAUUGAACCGCAUGGUUCAAUAGUGAAAGACGGUUUUGCUGUCACUUAUAGAUGGAUCCGCGCCGCAUUAGCUAGUUGGUAAGGUAACGGCUUACCAAGGCAACGAUGCGUAGCCGACCUGAGAGGAUGAUCAGCCACACUGGAACGGAGACACGGUCCAGACUCCUACGGGAGGCAGCAGUAGGGAAUCUUCCGCAAGGGGCGAAAGCCUGACGGAGCAACGCCGCGUGAGUGAUGAAGGUCUUCGGAUCGUAAAACUCUGUUAUUAGGGAAGAACAAAUGUGUAAGUAACUAUGCACGUCUUGACGGUACCUAAUCAGAAAGCCACGGCUAACUACGUG